CCCACUUCGGUCUCGGCUCCGCCUCCGCUCCGCCCCCCGGGUUUGCUCUUCCCAGGAGAGAAGCUAGGCUGGGCCUGUUUCUGGGAGAAGAGGGGAGUGGUUGACUGAGCUCGGAAAGGACAGGCCAGGAGCUUCCGAGCCCUCCCCGCCAAGGCCCCAGCUCGCCCCUAACUCUGUCUUCAGAAGGCUCCGCCCCGCCCUCCCGCCUGCACAGAAGGCUCACUCUCCCCGACGCUGCCUGCGACCCAGUUCCGCCCUCCCCCAUCCACCGGAGUAGCUGCUUCAGCCCUGCUGGCGCUUCCGCCCACCCGGCUUCCCCUCGCUGGGCAUGUGCAGUGGCCAAAGCCAUCUCCUCUCCAGGUCUGCUUGCUUUCUUUUGUCUCCUGUAGCUUAUUCCCUUUGGGUUUAGGGAGAGAGGGAAAGCAUCAGGAUGCCAGCACAGCAGCACAGGGAACAGAACAGAGAGGUGCUGGAUAACGUGCUUCUCUUCUUAGCUUAAAAGCCUGUCCCACAAUUUCCUCUCCAUUCUCCCCUCUAGGCCUGGAUCUUCAGCUUCCUGUCUCCAACUUAACUGCAUCAGGGGAGUUCUGAAAGUGGCAUCUAGAUGAAAAGGCAGCCUCUUGGGCACUCCAGCAGCUGGUGUCUAAUGAAACUUUCAAGUCACUGUGCUGGGUGCUGUGCAGGAGACAGAGGUGCCCAAGAGGUGGGCGCACCUCUCACAGACCUUUCAGUGAAGCAUGGAAAAUAGGAGUCGUGCCCCAAUCACCAAAGGGAGAAACCCACGAGGAAGGCCCUGACAACCACCAUUCUACUUUCUGGCUUUAUGACUUUGACUAUUCUAGGUAUCUCAUGCAAGUGGAAUCAGACAUUAUUUGUCCUUUUGUGAGUGGCUUAUUUCACUUAGCACAAUGUCUUCAAUGUUCAUCCAGGUUGUAGCAUGUGUCAGAGUUUCAUUUCUUUUUAAAGGUGAAUAAUAUUCCCUCGAAUGUAUAUGUCACAUUUUGUUUAUCCAUUCAUCCAUCUGUGGAUACUUGGGCUGCUUUCACUUUUGGCUAUUAUGAAUAAUGCUGCUAUGAAUUUGGGUGUACAAAUAUCUCUUCAAGACCUGCUUUCAGUUAUUUUGGGUAUAUGCCCAAAAGUAGGAUUGCUGGAUUGUAUGGUAAUUCUAUUUUAAUUUUUUUAAGGAAGAACCAAACUGUUCUCCAUGGCAGCUAUACCAUUUUAUAUUCCCACCAACACAAGAGUUCUGAUUUCUCCACAUCCUUGCCAACAAUUGUUUCCUUGUUUUGUUUUUUUAAUAGUAGUUAUCCUACUAGGUGUGAGAUGAUAUCACACUGUGGUUUUGAUUUGCAUUUCCCUAAUGAUUAGUAAUGCUGAGCAUCUUUCCAUGUGCUUGUUGGCCAUGUGUAUCUCCUUGAAGUGUCUAUUCAACUCCUUUGCCCAUUUUCAAAAUUGGUUGGGUUUUUGUUGUUGAAUUGUAUGAGUUCUUUAUAUAUUCUGGAUAUUGACCCCUUAUAAGAUAUAUGAUUUGUAAAUAUUUUAUCCCAUUCGCUGGACUGACUUUUCACUCUGUUGAUUGUGUCUUUUGAUGCACAAAAGAUUUUUAUUUUUACAUAGUCCAAUUUAUCUAUUUUUUUCUUUUGUCACCUGGGCUUUUGGUGUCAUGUCCAAGAAAACACUGUCAAAUCUAAUGUCAUGAACUUUUUACCCUAUGUUUUCUUCUAUGAAUUUUACAGUUUUAGCUCUUAGGUUUAGGUCUUUGAUUGAUUUUGGAUUAAUUUUUGUGUGUGGUAUAAGGGAAGGGUCCAACUGAUAAAACUGAAUUCCCAUUCAGGAUUAAAACUCUUCACAAACAAGGGAAUAAAACACCUACAGUAUGAAAAGCAGUUUCCAAUGUGUAACUUUUAUAUUAUAGCAUAUACAGUAUAAUUUCUGUUAAAAAUCUGUAAGUAUAUAUGUGCAUGGUUCA